CCUACGGGAGACAGCAGUAGGGAAUCUUCCACAAUGGGCGAAAGCCUGAUGGAGCAACGCCGCGUGGGUGAAGAAGGUCUUCGGAUCGUAAAACCCUGUUGUUAGAGAAGAAAGUGCGUGAGAGUAACUGUUCACGUUUCGACGGUAUCUAACCAGAAAGCCACGGCUAACUACGUGCCAGCAGCCGCGGUAAUACGUAGGUGGCAAGCGUUAUCCGGAUUUAUUGGGCGUAAAGGGAACGCAGGCGGUCUUUUAAGUCUGAUGUGAAAGCCUUCGGCUUAACCGGAGUAGUGCAUUGGAAACGGGGAGACUUGAGUGCAGAAGAGGAGAGUGGAACUCCAUGUGUAGCGGUGAAAGGCGGAGAUAUAUGGAAGAACACCAGUGGCGAAAGCGGCUCUCUGGUCUGUAACUGACGCUGAGGUUCGAAAGCGCGGGUAGCAAACAGGAUUAGAUACCCCGGUAGUC
rnacentral:rRNA from 1 species